GACGAACGCUGGCGGCGUGCCUAAUACAUGCAAGUCGAGCGGACUGAUUCGGAGCUUGCUCCGAGGAUGUCAGCGGCGGACGGGUGAGUAACACGUGGGCAAUCUGCCCGACAGACCGGGAUAACGCUUGGAAACGAGUGCUAAUACCGGAUAGGCUCUUGAGUCGCAUGACUUUUGAGAGAAAGAAGCUAUCGCUUCACUGUCGGAUGAGCCCGCGGCGCAUUAGCUAGUUGGUGAGGUAACGGCUCACCAAGGCGACGAUGCGUAGCCGACCUGAGAGGGUGACCGGCCACACUGGGACUGAGACACGGCCCAGACUCCUACGGGAGGCAGCAGUAGGGAAUCUUCCGCAAUGGGCGCAAGCCUGAUCCAGCCAUGCCGCGUGCAGGAAGACGGCCCUAUGGGUUGUAAACUGCUUUUCCAGGGAGAGAAACUUACGCACGUGUUGCGUGACUGACGGUACCCUGGGAAUAAGC
rnacentral:rRNA from 1 species